GAGACGCCUAAAGAAAGGCUUGAGCUACUCAGGAAAGAAGUUGAAAAAAUGAAGCGAGACAGGAGGGUGCGAUUGGCCGAUUCGUCGUCAAGUGGGGAAAUAAAUUUUACCAUCAAGUCGAGGGGAAAAAGUAUACUGCUCUCGCAACACUUUUCGUCGGAUUUGGUUACGGCGACAUUAAGGCUGGGACUGUUAAGGAUUGGCUCGAACAAGAAAAGCUUGAGCUAUUCAGGAAAGAAGUUGAAAGAAUGAAGCUCGAGUAUGAAGCUGAAGCGAGACAGAAGGUGAGGAGUUUGGAAGCUGCCAAUGCUAAUCAGUAGAAUUCGGGGAAGAAUAUGCAACCAGCCAGCCGCACAUUCCUGUCUUUUGUGUUUUUCUCUUGUUGUUUGCAUUUUGGUAUUUUCUAUGUUCAAGUCACAUACACUUAAAUUGCCAUUUUAUAUGAUGUCCACUGUUAUUUUUGGGAGUCAGCCAUGA